UACGUAGGGUGCAAGCGUUAAUCGGAAUUACUGGGCGUAAAGCGUGCGCAGGCGGUUUUGUAAGUCAGAUGUGAAAGCCCCGGGCUCAACCUGGGAAUGGCGAUGGAUACUGGCGGGCUAGAGUGCGGUAGAGGAGAGUGGAAUUCCCGGUGUAGCAGUGAAAUGCGUAGAGAUCGGGAGGAACAUCAGUUGCGAAGGCGGCUCUCUGGACCAGCACUGACACUGAGGCACGAAAGCGUGGGGAGCAAACAGG
rnacentral:rRNA from 1 species